rnacentral:lncRNA from 1 species
CAAAGCAAAGCAUAUAUGUUUACAUAAAAAUGUUCUCACGUUUGUUCUCUACUCUCUUCAAUAAUUCUAUAUAAACAUCUUCCAUUACAGGUAGCUAUGAUAUAGCAGAAAUUGAGCUCAAGAAACACAAAAAUGGCGUCUGGUUCACUCAAUACAUGCACAGUCCAGAAAUCUCGUGCCCUACUGAACCGGGUUCACAUUCUUUUCCAUUUUACUGCCAUUUUAACUCUACUUUAUUACAGAAUCUCAAACCUCUUUCAUGGCAAUGUUCCACUUGUUUCAUGGACUGUUAUCACUAUUUCUGAGCUGAUUUUCACGUUCUUAUGGAUUCUAACGCAAGCUUUUCGGUGGCGGCCGGUGGUUAGGGCCGUGGAGAUGGAGAAUCUUCCCGAGGACGACAAGUUGCCUGGGGUCGAUGUGUUUAUUUGUACAACUGAGUCGAAUAAGGAGCCGGUGGUGGAGGCAAUGAAUACGGUUUUGUCAGCCAUGGCGCUGGAUUAUCCAUCGGACAAACUGGCGGUUUAUGUCUCCGACGACGGGGGAGCCCCCAUGACACUUUAUGCUAUAAAAGAAGCGUGUGAGUUUGCUAGGUCGUGGAUUCCUUUUUGUAGGAAAUAUGGGAUCAAGAAUAGAUGUCCCGAUGCGUAUUUUUCAAUGUCCGAUGAUUCUGAACGACAUGUUUGGAGCGAUGAAUUCAAGGGAGAGGAACAGAAGAUCAAG